AACGAACGCUGGCGGCAUGCCUAACACAUGCAAGUCGAACGAGACCUUCGGGUCUAGUGGCGCACGGGUGCGUAACGCGUGGGAACCUGCCCUUAGGUUCGGAAUAACUCCCCGAAAGGGGUGCUAAUACCGGAUAAUGUCUUCGGACCAAAGAUUUAUCGCCUUUGGAUGGGCCCGCGUUGGAUUAGCUAGUUGGUAGGGUAAAAGCCUACCAAGGCGACGAUCCAUAGCUGGUCUGAGAGGAUGAUCAGCCACACUGGGACUGAGACACGGCCCAGACUCCUACGGGAGGCAGCAGUGGGGAAUAUUGGACACUGGGCGAAAGCCUGAUCCAGCAAUGCCGCGUGAGUGAUGAAGGCCUUAGGGUUGUAAAGCUCUUUUACCCGGGAUGAUAAUGACAGUACCGGGAGAAUAAGCACCGGCUAACUCCGUG
rnacentral:rRNA from 1 species